rnacentral:rRNA from 1 species
UGGGUGACCUGCCCUCAGCUCUGGGAUAAGCCUGGGAAACUGGGUCUAAUACUGGAUAUUCACUUCUCAUCGCAUGGUGGGUGGUGGAAAGUUUUUUCGGCUGGGGAUGGGCCCGCGGCCUAUCAGCUUGUUGGUGAGGUAAUGGCUCACCAAGGCGACGACGGGUAGCCGGCCUGAGAGGGUGACCGGCCACACUGGGACUGAGACACGGCCCAGACUCCGUACGGGAG